rnacentral:rRNA from 1 species
AACGCGAAGAACCUUACCUGGGUUUGACAUGCCCUGACAAUCGUAGAGAUACGACUUUGGUAGCAAUACCACAGGGACACAGGUGCUGCAUGGCUGUCGUCAGCUCGUGUGGUGGCAUGUUGGGUUAAGUCCCGCAACGAGCGCAACCCCUGUCCUUAGUUGCCAGCAUUCAGUUGGGCUCUCUAAGGAGACUGCCGUGGUUAACACGGAGGAAGGUGGGGAUGACGUCAAGUCCUCAUGGCCUUUAUAUCCAGGGCGACACACGUGAUACAAUGGAUGGUACAGAGGGAAGCGAAACCGCGAGGUGGAGCCAAUCUCAAAAAGCCAUUCUCAGUUCGGAUUGGAGUCUGCAACUCGACUCCAUGAAGUUGGAAUCGCUAGUAAUCGCGGAUCAGCACGCCGCGGUGAAUACGUUCCCGGGCCUUGUACACACCGAGACGUA